UAGCUCACUAGUCGAGUGACACUGCGCCGAAAAUGUACCGGGGCUAAACAUAUUACCGAAGCUGUGGAUCGUCCUUUAGGACAAUGGUAGGAGAGCGUUCUAAGGGCGUGGAAGCAUGAUCGCAAGGACAUGUGGAGCGCUUAGAAGUGAGAAUGCCGGUGUGAGUAGCGAAAGACGGGUGAGAAUCCCGUCCACCGAUUGACUAAGGUU
rnacentral:rRNA from 1 species